CUGAACAUAGGCAGUCAUACUACCAUGCUGCAUCUGUAGUGUUUGGGGAAAAUAGAGGCCUGUCUUUGGGGCACAUCCAAACAGGAUCUCAAAAGGGGAUAAGCCAUGUCUGGAAUUGGGGGUGAAUCUCAUAGAAAAGAGUGCUAGGGGAAGGCAUUCAGUACAGGGCUUUCCUGUGUCUUGCAUGGCUUUUGCAAUCUUGUUCUUUAAGGUGCCAUUUGCCC